rnacentral:rRNA from 1 species
AAUCAUUAGUCUUUUAAUUUGAGACUGGAAUGAAUGGUUCCACUAAUUAAUUUUGUCUCAUUUCAAUAUUUUGAAUUUUAUAUUUUAGUAAAAAAGCUAAAAUUAUUUUUAAAGACGAGAAGACCCUAUCAAGCUUUAUAAUAAAAUUUUUAUAUUCAAAAUAAGAAUAAGAUUAUUUGGCUGGGGCAGCAGAUAUAAAAUUUUUAUCUUAUUAUUAUGAUUUAUAACUCUUACCAAACCUAAAAAUUUUUAAGUAAAAAUAAGUUACUGUAGGGAUAACAGCAUAAUUUUUUUAAAGAGUUCUUAUUAUCAAAAAAGUUUGUGACCUCGAUGUUGGAUUAAGAACCCUAAUUUACGCAAUAGU